AAAUUGAAUAAAUCAAGCAUAUAAGAUUUUAUACGUUAAUAUAGAUUGGUAUUGCUAUAUUUUUAUAAACAAUAAUGUUCAUCCCAUUUGCAUGGAAGCUCGGUAGGAUCAAUCACCAUUUGAAAAGGUUCCGAUGCAGGCAAUUCUGAUCAUGAAGAAAUCGGAAAUCGACUACGAACCCCAAAAGAUGGGGAUGUUCGGACACAGUACGAUAGUUCCGAGUGGUCCCAAACAUUUGGCAGCUGUCGUGACACCCGUGGAUCUUUCAUUUUGCCCUCAAAUUGGUGUUUCACCUCCCGAUUUGUUGCCCAGAAUACCUUUGCCAAACCAAACAAUUGGACUCUGGCACUAGUGCCCCAUUGGAACGAGAACUAGGGAAUAAGAAUCCCCCACAUCACGGAGGUUGCCGCUGCGAUAUCCACUACGAGAAGUAUAACUGAUCCGUUUUUCUUUUAUACAUCAACCGGGACUAUGUUGAGAAUUGAAAACAGCGGUGGAAUACCGAUACAUAAAUAGAUGCGGUCCACCUGACGUGGAACACAGCGGUAUUCACCUAAUCAGCAGCCUUUCAACGAAACCCCCUGAAAAGGAAUCAAUUUUCAAAACUUCGUGAGACCUGACGCCACCCACUCCUCAAGUUACGCUUGCAAUCUCCGUAACGAGACGCUAUCGGCAUUUUCUGGCAUUUGCUGUAACAACUGUAAUGCAAUGUCUGCCACUUGCUGACUCCCACAGCAGAGGCUUCAAUUUUCCCUGGACCUCCGAAUGUCCUCGACCCGGUCCGAAUUGCUCCGGUCAGUCACGCAACAGCAGCCCAGUAGUAAAAAAAAACUUGUAUUUGACUAUUCGAGUUAUUUAUGAUAUACAUAUUAGUGGAGUUUUC